rnacentral:lncRNA from 1 species
UUUUUUGUCUUUCUCUUCUUCAGUCACUAUGAGCAAGACCGGAGUGCACUUAAGCGGAAAGAAUGGGAGAGAAGAAACCAGGAAGUCCAGCAAGAUGAAGAUCUCUUUGCUUCAGGUUUUAACCUCUUUGGGGAACCGUACAAGACAAAUAAAGGUGAUGCCCUUGCAAACCGUGUCCAGAACACAUUGGGAAAUUACGAUGAGAUGAAGGACCUGUUAACCAACCAUUCCAACCAGAGCCACCUUGUAGGAAUCCCAAAGAAUUCUGUCCCACAGACACCCAUUGACAAAAAUGAACAGAAUUUUUUCCCAGAACCAAGAAACAGGAUGAUCCCAUCUCAUCAGAUCAGUGGCCACUCAUCGACAUCAAUGCCUCCACCUUCUUCGUUGUCAUCUAAUUCUACUUUGCUACACAGUCACCAGAGCAGCAGGAAGUCGAGGACAGACUGGUCACGUGGUGGUCACAACUCUAGUGGGGCCCAGCCAAGCCAAUCCAGUAGUCAGCAGAGUCGGACAAAGCAUAGCUCUUCUCAUGAGCAGCCACAGGGCAGGUAUGAAGACCUCUAUAAUUGUCAGAGUGAGCAGCAUAAAAGCGGAGGAACUGAGGAAGCAAAUUCUAUGGCAGCAUCUUCACAUUCGAGGAGGCAUACUCAUUCAAAGUCAGCACCUGGAGAACAUACUUACAAAGAAAACAGUCAUUCGAAGUCACCCACAGAGCUUGAGUUUGUAGGUCAUGGUCCUGGAUCUCCACUCCCUUCCACUUCUUUGUUAUCUGCGAACAAUGGUCUUUCGACCCAGAAUUUCCCACCAGGACUUCACUGUAAAAACAGCAUGGUCCAGCAAAAGCCUACAGCAUACGUCAGGCCUAUGGACGGUCAGGACCAGGUGCCCAAUGACUCACCUGAACUGAAACCUCCGAUAGAAAUUGAGAGUGGAUAUGGAAAUCAGUCCUUUGGAACACUGCUGGAAGGAAAGGUGAACACACCUAGUUCGAAGAACAAAGUACCAAAGCUCAACAUUCCUCCUGUUAGUGAAGUUACUCUUCCCAAUGACUCCAGCUGUGUGGAAGAAAUAUUACGGGAGAUGACCCAUUCCUGGCCUCCUCCUCUUACUGCUAUUCACACUCCUGGCAAGGCUGAGCAGACCAAGUUUUCUAUCCCAAGCAAGCAGCAUACUGACACAAGAGGAUCUUCUCCCCGCAGCAGCCUGCCGGUGCCGGCGGCACAUGCAACUGGCUUGGCCCAUUCCAGCGGUGGCUCCGGGAGCUCCAGCGAGUCCGAGAGCAGCUCCGAGUCCGACUCCGACAGCGAGAGCAGCUCCAGUGACAGCGAGUGCAAUGAGGAGUCACGCAGUGCCACGCCAGAGCCUGAACCUCCCUCAACAAACAAAUGGCAGCUGGAUAAAUGGCUAAAUAAAGUGAACCCCCACAACAAGACCAUCAUCAACAAUCAAAAUGAGCCUCACAGCGAGACCAGCUCCCAGGCCCAGAGCAACCAGCAGGCCGAAGGGCCAAACAAAGGGAAGCUCAACAGCAGCCUGCCCCCGACCGAUUCCAAAGACCGGGCGAUCCUUAGUCCCAUCCGAGAGAAAGCCAAACCGCGGGUUGCCCAGAAAACCCCAGAGGCAAAAAGCUCCAAGCAGAAGUCACCAGCUCAUAAUGAGCCCACUUCGCAAAGGACUACUGGGAAAAAGCAACCCAAAAAGGUAGAAAGGACUUCCAGUGUAGAAGAGUAUAACUGGCCCAAACCAAAUAAUACCAGCAACACUCCCAAAGAAAAAGACACACAGGAACCCCCUGAGCAGCCAAAGGUUCGAACUAAAGCAGCAGUUGGGAAGACCGCUCCAAGGAAAGAACCACGAACUAGCACAGGUCUCACUUCAGAGAAGAAAAAGUACAGAGGCCCCAGCAAAAUUGUCCCUAAGUCCCGGGAAUUCAUUGAAACAGAUUCAUCUACUUCUGACUCAAAUACAGACCAGGAGGAGAGCUUGCAGGCUAAGGUGUUGCCAGCUUGCACUGGGUCUGGCAAUGGCGCCAAAGUGAAGGACUCUGGCAGUAACAUCCUCAGCGUAAGUAGUUUAACUAGCAAUGGCAGCAACACAUCCAUUGACCAGACCAGCAAUGACUUGGAGGAGCAGCUCUUUUCUCCUAUCCCAAUCGUACAAAAUGAACUUCUGUCCCCACUGAGAGAAUAUGAAGAACUCAAAUCUCUGUGGGUGAAAAUAGACCUUAGCUUACUCUCUAGGAUACCUGGACAAGAGCCUUUUGAGACCACGUCUGUGAAAAGUGAACCGAGAGAGGCAAAUGUGAAACACAGGCGACCGUCUCGAGAGUCUCCUACCCCAGCAGCUGAAAAACCAUCCACAAAAUCCAAAAGGAAACACAAGCAAACAGAAAGCCUGGAUACCUUUGUUGAAAGCAAGAAGCAGCGCCUGGAGGACCCUUCAGCUUCAUGCCUGCUCCCACCUUGUAUCUCUCCGAUACCGAAUCACAGAUUAACCAUGAAGAAGGUGGCAAAGAAAAGAGAAGAGAAGCUGUUUCCUCCUCCAUUAUCCCCCCUUUUGGAUGAGCCUGUGCACCGGCGGCACAGUAGUGACAACGGCUCCUUCAGCCAAGAGACCAACAUCACAAACACCUCUCAGACCAGCAGCUCUUCCUCCUCUGUUUCUAAACACAGAAAGAAUGAAAAUAAAUCCUCUUCUAACCCCAAAGGAAUCUGUGUAAGUAACCGACCUCAGAUGCUGGAAGAAGAAUCUCACAAUACACCAACAGCCAACACUCUUCUUGACACCAGCCACCUAGAAACAGACAUCUGGUCUGCAAUGCCAACACUUUCCAAUGGGAAUUCUGAGCCCAGAAGACCCAAAAUAACAUUUGAUGAUGUGCUUCACAAUGCGGAUUAUUACAUGCAAGAGGCUAAGAAGCUAAAGCAUAAAGCAGAUGCAUUGCUGGAGAAGUUUGGCAAAGCAGUGAAUUAUGCUGAUGCUGCCCUCUCCUUCAUCGAGUGCGGGAAUGCUAUGGAGCGAGAUCCAUUAGAAGCUAAAUCUCCAUACACCAUGUACUCAGAGACUGUGGAACUCAUCAGGUAUGCAAUGAGACUCAAGAAUUUCACAGGCUCUUCUGCCACGGAAGGGGACAAGAAAUUAGCAGUUUUAUGCUACCGAUGCUUAUCGCUUCUCUACUUGAGAAUGUUUAAACUAAAGAAGGACCAUGCUAUGAAGUACUCCAGAUCUCUGAUGGAAUAUUUUAAGGUAAUCUUUAUUCUAUUUAAUUUAUAGAUAUGAAAUGAAAUUCAUACCAGCACUGAGAGCUCUCACAAGUAUAACUGCGUGACUUAAAAGUCCCACAUUUAACCUCUCCCCUGGGAAAUGCAGGCAGGAUGGCUGCCAGGGACUGGGGACAG